rnacentral:tRNA from 1 species
GCCCGGGUGAUGGAACAGGUAGACAUACUGGACUUAAAAUCCAGAGCCGCAAGGCGUGCCGGUUCGAGUCCGGCCCCGGGUACCA